rnacentral:rRNA from 1 species
AACGAACGCUGGCGGCAUGCCUAACACAUGCAAGUCGAACGAGACCUUCGGGUCUAGUGGCGCACGGGUGCGUAACGCGUGGGAACCUGCCCUUAGGUUCGGAAUAACUCCCCGAAAGGGGUGCUAAUACCGGGUAAUGUCUUCGGACCAAAGAUUUAUCGCCUUUGGAUGGGCCCGCGUUGGAUUAGCUUGUUGGUAGGGUAAAAGCCUACCAAGGCGACGAUCCAUAGCUGGUCUGAGAGGAUGAUCAGCCACACUGGGACUGAGACACGGCCCAGACUCCUACGGGAGGCAGGAGUGGGGAAUAUUGGACAAUGGGCGAAAGCCUGAUCCAGCAAUGCCGCGUGAGUGAUGAAGGCCUUAGGGUUGUAAAGCUCUUUUACCCGGGAUGAUAAUGACAGUACCGAGAGAAUAAGCUCCGGCUAACUCCGUG